rnacentral:tRNA from 1 species
GCCGGAGUGGCGAAAUUGGUAGACGCAGCGGAUUCAAAAUCCGCCACCCUUAAAAGUGUGCCGGUUCGAGUCCGGCCUCCGGCA